rnacentral:rRNA from 1 species
AUUGAACGCUGGCGGCAGGCUUAACACAUGCAAGUCGAACGAGUGGCGGACGGGUGAGUAAUGCUUGGGAAUCUAGCUUAUGGAGGGGGAUAACUACGGGAAACUGUAGCUAAUACCGCGUACCAUAGGAUGAGCCCCAGUGGGAUUAGUUAGUUGGUGAGGUAAAGGCUCACCAAGCCGACGAUCUCUAGCUGGUCUGAGAGGAUGACCAGCCAAACUGGGACUGAGACACGGCCCAGAGGCCUACGGGAGGCAGCAGUGGGGAAUAUUGCGCAAUGGGGGCAACCUGACGCAGCCAUGCGGCGUGAAUGAAGAAGGCCUUCGGGUUGUAAAGUUCUUUCGGUAGCGAGGCGUUAGCUACAGAAGAAGCACCGGCUAACUCCGUGCCAGCAGCCGCGGUAAUAC